rnacentral:rRNA from 1 species
AGUGAACGCUGGCGGUAGGCCUAACACAUGCAAGUCGAACGGCAGCACAGUAAGAGCUUGCUCUUACGGGUGGCGAGUGGCGGACGGGUGAGGAAUACAUCGGAAUCUACUUUUUCGUGGGGGAUAACGUAGGGAAACUUACGCUAAUACCGCAUACGACCUACGGGUGAAAGCAGGGGAUCUUCGGACCUUGCGCGAUUGAAUGAGCCGAUGUCGGAUUAGCUAGUUGGCGGGGUAAAGGCCCACCAAGGCGACGAUCCGUAGCUGGUCUGAGAGGAAGAUCGGCCACACUGGAACUGGGACACGGUCCAGACUCCUACGGGAGGCAGCAGUGGGGAAUAUUGGACAAUGGGCGCAAGCCUGGUCCAGCCAUACCGCGUGGGUGAAGAAGGCCUUCGGGUUGUAAAGCCCUUUUGUUGGGAAAGAAAAGCAGCAGGUUAAUACCCCGCUGUUCUGACGGUACCCAAAGAAUAAGCACCGGCUAACUUCGUG